AACUUACUGCCCCAGGAAAGGAAUUUUUUCCUGAGCAGGAGGGAGCUGAGGAAGUCUGGGCAAUCCACAACAGACCAUCUGAAAUCAUUUUCCCAGGCGGCGGAAUAAACACCUAGCCAGACGCUACAUUGUUUUUCAAAGAGCCUCGGGCCAGGUCCCAUCUCUUGGGCUGCACUCAUCUGAACGGACCUUGCCAGGAGAACACAUGCCAGAGCAGCAGUUGGCUGAGUGGUCCUCACCAGUGGAGGAGUGAGUGGAUUACCAGAAGGGCUCUGCUGUGGCUCCCGAUUAGUGAGGAGUGAUGUGUCUGGGAGGCACUGGCCUGGCCAAAAGAGCGUUCUUUCACUUCUAGCCAGUUCUCAUCGUUCUCCACAGAAUGUGCCAUGUUGGCUAAAACUAUGAAGUCUGCCAUGAAUGUGAGCGGAAAUGUGGAAAAGGCCCCUUCACAAGGAACUGAGCAAGUCCUCUGACGAACAAUCAGAAACUCAGGACUUCAGUCCAACAGCCUGUGAAGUGCUGGAUCCUAUUAACAACCAUGAGGUGUACCAGUGGAGCAGAAUCUCAGUUGCGGUGGAAUUAGGAGUAAAGCAACUAUACUGAUCAAUCUUCAUGAUGUGAAGGGUAAGAA